AGCAGCCGCGGUAAUUCCAGCUCCAAUAGCGUAUAUUAAAGUUGCUGCAGUUAAAAAGCUCGUAGUUGAAUUUCGGGACCAAUUUGUCGGUCGUGCCUCGGUACGCACUGGCUUAUUGGUUUCUCCCUUCUGAAGAACCAUGAUGUCAUUUAUUUGGUGUCGUGGGGAAUCAGGACUGUUACUUUGAAAAAAUUAGAGUGUUUAAAGCAGGCUCACGCUUGAAUACAUUAGCAUGGAAUAAUGAAAUAGGACGUUUGAUUCUAUUUUGUUGGUUUCUAGGAUCGACGUAAUGAUUAAUAGGGAUAGUUGGGGGCAUUAGUAUUCAAUUGUCAGAGGUGAAAUUCUUGGAUUUAUUGAAGACUAACUACUGCGAAAGCAUUUGCCAAGGAUGUUUUCAUUAAUCAAGAACGAAAGUUAGGGGAUCGAAGACGAUCAGAUACCGUCGUAGUCUUAACCAAUAAACUAUGCCGACUAGGGAUCGGAUGAUGUUAAUUUUUAAUGACUCAUUCGGCGCCUUAAC
rnacentral:rRNA from 1 species